GGGAAAAAUAUGGAUAUUAUGGGAAAAAUAUGGAUAUUAUGGGAAAAAUAUGGAUAUUAUGGGAAAAAAAAAGGAUAUUAUGGAAAAAAAAAAGGAUAUUAUGGAAAAAUAUCCAGGAAAAGGUGCUCAAGGUAACCCCUGGAGCAGCCAAAAUCAAAAAUGAGCUGGUAGGAGCAGCCUGGCCAAAAUUGCUCCAAAAAUCCUUAAAUUCAUUCCCCAGCCGCCCCACAAAAAGAUCUCAAAAAUUUUUAGGGUUUGCUGAUGAAGGGUAUCAGGAUUUUGGGGUGGAAAUUGGGAUUCUCCCUCCCAAAAACCCCAAUAAAAGAGAAGAAGGCAAUCAGAGGUUCAGCUGAGAAAAUUCCCCCUCUCACCAAGUGAGGCCCUCCCUCAAAAUCCCAAUUUCCUGCGCUCAGCAAGGCUGGGAAUGUGGACAGCAGGGGAAAAAAAAAUUAAAAUAAAAAAGCCUUUUCCAUCUUUCUGACAGAGAAAUUAAUUUUAAAUCCUCGUCCGCAUCGCCCCUCGCUCACCCAGGACACUGUGGAACAUCAGUCUUGUGUGCCAGGAUGGAUUUUCUGCCUAAAAUUAACAUUUCAAGUGAAUUCUUUGGGAAAAAUCAGAGUGACACACGCAGAGAAUCACACACCCCCUCCCAAAAACAGAUUCACCACGGGGUUUAGGCAGCGAGGGUCCUGUUCAAGCCCCCCAGGAGUCAGAAUUCCAUGGAAAACAUCCCCCAAAAUCCCUGGGAUGUGCCCAAAAAGGGGCUUAAGGCUGUCAGGCUGUUCCCAGCCAGCUCCUCCUCGUGUCCCUGCUUAAAAACAAAAAAAUGUUCCUUUUUUAAAGAGUUUAAAAAGGAAUUCACAUCUCAGGAAUUCACAUUCCUGGCUGGGGGUGCUUUCCUCACCUCGAGAAAAUCCUUUCUGCACAAGGCAAUGCUCUGCUGCUUUUCCUUACACAUAAAGUUGACUUUAUUCCUUUUCUUAAAAAGUUAAAAAUACAGAAGGUUCAGAAACUGCUUUUCUCCUUGCAGGUUUGCAGCUUAAGGAGAAAACAAUCCUUCACUGAAAUGUUUCUCUUAAUUGGCUUUUUUUAUUAUUAUUAUUAUAUAUUUUUUUCUAAUUGUGGGGUUUUUUUUUUCCUCUCAAUCAUCAUCACCCUUUUUAUUUUAUUUUUUAGGACAGAGGUUGAGGAGCGCUGACUCCACCACUAAUUUAAUAACUUUUUUUUUUACUUUUUUUUUUGUUUUGUUUUUUUUUUU